rnacentral:sRNA from 1 species
AGUCCGCUGGUCCCGAGCACGAGCUGUGAGGGGAUUCACUUGUGUGCGGAACUCCUCGGAACCAUGGCGUCCCUUUCCCUUGCACCUGUUAACAUCUUUAAGGCAGGAGCUGAUGAAGAGAGAGCAGAGACAGCUCGUCUGACUUCUUUUAUUGGUGCCAUCGCCAUUGGAGACUUGGUAAAGAGCACCUUGGGACCCAAAGGCAUGGACAAAAUUCUUCUAAGCAGUGGACGAGAUGCCUCUCUUAUGGUAACUAAUGAUGGUGCCACUAUUCUAAAAAACAUUGGUGUUGACAAUCCAGCAGCUAAAGUUUUAGUUGGUAAGUCUGAAUAUACUUUUUCACCAACCUAAUAAUACUGUUUGUUAACAUUUUUGAAAUAACUUUAUAAAUAGGCUGUGUUGACCAAUCAUACUGUCAAUUGAUGUCCACUAGUUUUUAAUUAUCGUUGUUAAAAUACAAGCUUCAGGAGUGCCCGUAUGU